GGGGCAUUAGCGCAGUUGGGAGCGCGCCUCCAUGGCAUGGAGGAGGUCACGGGUUCGAAUCCCGUAUGCUCCA
rnacentral:tRNA from 1 species